CGACCGCUGGCGGCGUGCCUAAUACAUGCAAGUCGAGCGGACUUUCAAGAAGCUUGCUUUUUGAAAGUUAGCGGCGGACGGGUGAGUAACACGUGGGCAACCUGCCUGCAAGACGGGGAUAACUCCGGGAAACCGGGGCUAAUACCGGAUAAUAUCUUCCUUCGCAUGAAGGAAGGUUGAAAGGCGGCGCAAGCUGCCGCUUGCAGAUGGGCCCGCGGCGCAUUAGCUAGUUGGUGAGGUAACGGCUCACCAAGGCGACGAUGCGUAGCCGACCUGAGAGGGUGAUCGGCCACACUGGGACUGAGACACGGCCCAGACUCCUACGGGAGGCAGCAGUAGGGAAUCUUCCGCAAUGGACGAAAGUCUGACGGAGCAACGCCGCGUGAGCGAAGAAGGUCUUCGGAUCGUAAAGCUCUGUUGUCAGGGAAGAACAAGUACCGUUCGAACAGGGCGGUACCUUGACGGUACCUGACCAGAAAGCCACGGCUAACUACGUG
rnacentral:rRNA from 1 species